CUGGCGGCAGGCCUAACACAUGCAAGUCGAGCGGAUGAAGGGAGCUUGCUCCUGGAUUCAGCGGCGGACGGGUGAGUAAUGCCUAGGAAUCUGCCUGGUAGUGGGGGAUAACGUCCGGAAACGGGCGCUAAUGCCGCAUACGUCCUGAGGGAGAAAGUGGGGGAUCUUCGGACCUCACGCUAUCAGAUGAGCCUAGGUCGGAUUAGCUAGUUGGUGGGGUAAAGGCCUACCAAGGCGACGAUCCGUAACUGGUCUGAGAGGAUGAUCAGUCACACUGGAACUGAGACACGGUCCAGACUCCUACGGGAGGCAGCAGUGGGGAAUAUUGGACAAUGGGCGAAAGCCUGAUCCAGCCAUGCCGCGUGUGUGAAGAAGGUCUUCGGAUUGUAAAGCACUUUAAGUUGGGAGGAAGGGCAGUAAGUUAAUACCUUGCUGUUUUGACGUUACCAACAGAAUAAGCACCGGCUAACUUCGUGCCAGCAGCCGCGGUAAUACGAAGGGUGCAAGCGUUAAUCGGAAUUACUGGGCGUAAAGCGCGCGUAGGUGGUUCAGCAAGUUGGAUGUGAAAUCCCCGGGCUCAACCUGGGAACUGCAUCCAAAACUACUGAGCUAGAGUACGGUAGAGGGUGGUGGAAUUUCCUGUGUAGCGGUGAAAUGCGUAGAUAUAGGAAGGAACACCAGUGGCGAAGGCGACCACCUGGACUGAUACUGACACUGAGGUGCGAAAGCGUGGGGAGCCAACAGGAUUAGAUACCCUGGUAGUUCACGCCGUAAACGAUGUCGGCUAGCCGUUGGGAUCCUUGAGAUCUUAGUGGCGCAGCUAACGCGAUAAGUCGACCGCCUGGGGAGUACGGCCGCAAGGUUAAAACUCAAAUGAAUUGACGGGGGCCCGCACAAGCGGUGGAGCAUGUGGUNUAAUUCGAAGCAACGCGAAGAACCUUACCUGGCCUUGACAUGCUGAGAACUUUCCAGAGAUGGAUUGGUGCCUUCGGGAACUCAGACACAGGUGCUGCAUGGCUGUCGUCAGCUCGUGUCGUGAGAUGUUGGGUUAAGUCCCGUAACGAGCGCAACCCUUGUCCUUAGUUACCAGCACCUCGGGUGGGCACUCUAAGGAGACUGCCGGUGACAAACCGGAGGAAGGUGGGGAUGACGUCAAGUCAUCAUGGCCCUUACGGCCAGGGCUACACACGUGCUACAAUGGUCGGUACAAAGGGUUGCCAAGCCGCGAGGUGGAGCUAAUCCCAUAAAACCGAUCGUAGUCCGGAUCGCAGUCUGCAACUCGACUGCGUGAAGUCGGAAUCGCUAGUAAUCGUGAAUCAGAAUGUCACGGUGAAUACGUUCCCGGGCCUUGUACACACCGCCCGUCACACCAUGGGAGUGGGUUGCUCCAGAAGUAGCUAGUCUAACCGCAAGGGGGACGGUUACCACGGAGUGAUUCAUGACUGGGGUGAAGUCGUAACAAGGUAGC
rnacentral:rRNA from 1 species